GCUGGAGUAGCUCGGUUAGUUAGAGCAUGUGGCUGUUAACCACAAGGUCGAAGGUUCAAGCCGCUUCUCUAGCG
rnacentral:tRNA from 1 species